UACGUAGGGUGCAAGCGUUAAUCGGAAUUACUGGGGCGUAAAGCGUGCGCAGGCGGUUGUGCAAGACCGAUGUGAAAUCCCCGGGCUUAACCUGGGAAUGGCAUUGGUGACUGCACGGCUAGAGUGUGUCAGAGGGGGGUAGAAUUCCACGUGUAGCAGUGAAAUGCGUAGAGAUGUGGAGGAAUACCGAUGGCGAAGGCAGCCCCCUGGGAUAACACUGACGCUCAUGCACGAAAGCGUGGGGAGCAAACACGG
rnacentral:rRNA from 1 species